rnacentral:rRNA from 1 species
GGGUGCCCGCGAGGGAGCCCUAGCACAGGUGCUGCAUGGCCGUCGUCAGCUCGUGCCGUGAGGUGUUGGGUUAAGUCCCGCAACGAGCGCAACCCCCGCGUUAGUUGCCAGCGGUUCGGCCGGGCACUCUAACGGGACUGCCCGCGAAAGCGGGAGGAAGGAGGGGACGACGUCUGGUCAGCAUGGCCCUUACGGCCUGGGCGACACACGUGCUACAAUGCCCACUACAAAGCGAUGCCACCCGGCAACGGGGAGCUAAUCGCAAAAAGGUGGGCCCAGUUCGGAUUGGGGUCUGCAACCCGACCCCAUGAAGCCGGAAUCGCUAGUAAUCGCGGAUCAGCCAUGCCGCGGUGAAUACGUUCCCGGGCCUU